UGAAAAUGCCUGAAGGGAGCUAUUAAACUCACCAGAACAACUACAUUAAGCUGUAGUUGUUCUGGUGACUAUAGUGUCUCUUUAAUGAAGUCUGUUUUAUGGAUAGAUCAUGCCUCUGAAGUUUCACUGCUCAGCCAUUUAGGAGUUAAAUCACUUUUUUGCUUCUGUUGAUGCAGCCCUAGCCACACCUCCCCUGGUUGUGACUGAC